CUCCGUGCCGGCCCCCGCCCAAGGACUUCACUUUGCAGCCUCUUAGGUUCCGCCACCCCGGAGUUUCUUCUCCCUCUUCUCAGUCCUCCCCUGAGCCUGGCGGGGGCUCGGAAUAAAGCUCGAGCUGGUUUCCACGGGCUACAGUGGCUGUGUAGUGAAGGGGCGCAUCCCACAGGUCUGAGGGGGAAGACGGCAGAUGCUGCCAUGUCUGGACUGCCCAGCAGGUGGUGACCAAUUCACACUAGGAGAAUGGUGAAGCUCCGAAGAGGGAGGGAGAGGGGGAGCAAACGGCCAGGAUCUGCUCAUCUACUGCACAGGGAUGGGAAAGGCUCUAAUUAUCUUAGUUUCUCCAUGGAUAAAACAUUUACACUGAUCCCAAGUCUCUUGUUUGGCAAUGGUCAAUAAAUAUUAAACUACAUGAAAUUAACUGUGUUAAGCUGGAAAUACAAAAAAAAAAAAAA